CAUCAGAUGGCUGAGAUUAAGCACUGGUCUCUUAAACCACUUUACAAUAGAAUACACUAUUUCUGAUGA
rnacentral:tRNA from 1 species